rnacentral:rRNA from 1 species
GGUAUUUUGACUAUACGAAGGUAUUGAAAUAAGGCUUUUAUUGGGUGCUAAGAGAAUGGUUGAACAAGGAUUAACUUUCUUUUAAUUUUUAAUGGAAUUUGAUUUAAAAGUGAAGAGGCUUUUAUUAAUUUUUGGGACAAGAAGACCCUAUGAAUUUUUUUUUGUAAAUUUAUUUAUUAUUCAUAAUUAAGGGAAUUAAAUGUUUUUAUAAGUUAAUUGGGGUGAUUUUUAAAUAAUGUUUAACUUUAAAAAGAAGAAGAAUUAGAACCAUAAUGUAUGGUUGAUUGAUUAAAAUACUCUAGGGAUAACAGCGUGAUUAUUUUGGAUAGUUCAUAUAGAUAAAAUAGUUUGCGACCUCGAUGUUGGAUUAAGAUACUUAUGUAAUGAAGUAGUUACAUUAAGGAGUUUGCUCAACUUUUAAAGUCUU